GGGGCAGGCGGGUGGCGGUGGCUGCUGCCCGUGGAAAAAGGAGGGCCUUACACCGGUCCUUUAGCUCUGUGGAAGAAUAGUUCUCACAGGCUUGACGUCCCAGUGCCUUAUGAGAGUGCCAUUACAAUGAACAGAACUGCUUUUUUUUUUUUUUCCAUUUCCUGUUUCUCUAAAUAAACAAAGCUAGUUAGAUUGGAAUACAUUAUAACUUCUGCAGCGAGCUUCUCUGCUCGCUGAUAAGGUUGCUAAAGGCUAUGAUUUGCAUGGCAUUUCCGAGCUCCUCGUCAUUAGGACACGUUACCAACGUAACAAUUUGUCUGUCUGUCUCCCAGCAGCAGCGCAGAAGGUGCCUUAGGAACGCUGUGCCAUGGGGUGAGCAGCCUGCGUGGGCCGAACCUGUCACUCAACAGGGUGGCAGCGACUAAGGAUGUGGUCCCAUUACAUGGUUCUGCGCCAAGAACUUUGUGCACAGGGCCAACCAUAGAGGGAAAGUAAGACCAUAUGAGAAACUAGGACCACGCUAACCUGCUCGCUUUCCCUUUGCUAUUGACCAAGACACCCUUCAGGCCAUUUGCCUGCCCAGAUAAGCUGUUUUUAGAACGUAACCAAUUGGGAAGCAAUCUCGCUUAGCCACAUGCGUGUAUGAUGUGGGAAACCCUGCUUUGCUCAUUGUGCUGACCUCUACACGGUCCAGCUCCGUUUUUGUCUGCUAGUGUCAUAUAGAGUUUAUGUUGUCCCAUUUGUGUAAGAUGAGCGCAUUGGCUCUGUAAUAUAGUUCACAUGUGUUGUACAUGUGGAUUGUUAGGUAACUGCUUAGCUUGCAUUCUAUCCCAUAUAGUAAAACAAAGGAGGAAGUCCAUUCAAACCUAUCUGCUUUGCAGACUCCUUUAAAACACAGGCAAUUAAAGGCACACCUAGUAAGUGUAGGUGGCCAGAUACUACAGAGAAAGGCAUUAAAAAAUGCAGGACUUGCAUUACUAGACUUGUAGAAAAUUUUUUCCGAUGAGCCAGAAAAAAAUGUCAGUGUCCAAGACAAAGACAGCCAAGAAAGACAAAAUCACAGUGCUCAUGCCAAGCAAUACAGAACUUGUGUGCUUAUGUUUAUAAUUUCAAAGGAAAAUAUGAGUCUGCUGUUCCUCCACUCGGUCUACUAUCAGAUUAUAGCAACAGAAUAGACACUCAAUAUGGAAGAAGAAUGCAACAUGCAUGUGUGUGCUCCCAAGCAGAACCAAAGCUGCUAGAGCUAGCAUCUCUUUCAGUAAUAAUCUGUGUGGCAAUACAGUCCUGCAUUUUUCAGAUGUUGGAUAGUGAUUUAAAUCCAUUAUGCCUGAAUUCAGCAAAAGCCACUAGCCUUGAAAUUUGGUUUUGAGCCCGCUUAUGAAAUAGACCAGCUAUUUUCAUCGAAUUUCUCAUAAGUAAUUUUGCAAAUCGCAGAAACUGCUCUGUAAACUGAUACUGUUAAAAGCGCUCAGGCACUGAGGGUAUCUCAGGCGACAGUCCCUGUCACAUCAGGAAUUGUGCUGCUGAGGAUUUGGUUUGCUCUACCCUGCCAGUAUGCCUAUUCAUGGCAUAAAUAAGGAGCAUCAGGCUGUGUAAAUACUAGUCUUAAUCACAAAAUAAAUUCAGUAAAAAUAAACUACAUUUUAAUAAUAUUAGGCCUGCAGAAGACAGCUUAAUCUUAAUCUGAAAUGAUGAAUCAUAACAACCUUGAAGGGUAUUUGCAUCACAGUAUUGUGCUGGUUGUCUGAUGAAACAUCACUUGGAAAGUACUGUAUUUUUCAAAACAUACAGUAUGAUAGAAUCAUGGAAUUGCUCAGGUUGGAAAAGACCUUAAAGAUCAUCACAUCCAACCACAACCUAACCAUCCUACCCUAACUCUAACAACCCAUAGCUAAAUCAUGUCCCUGAGCACCACAUCCAAACGGUUUUUAAAGACGUCCAGGGAUGGUGACUCAAACACCUCCCUGGGGAGCUCAUUCCUUAAUUCGCUUAACAACCCUUUCUGUAAAGAAGUGUUUCCUGAUAUCCAACCUAAAAUUACCCUGGCACGACUUGAAGCCAUUUUCCCUCAUCCUGUCACCUGUCACCAGUCAGAAGAGACCAACCCUGCUCUCGCUGUAAGCACCUUUCAGAUAUCAGAAGAGAGCAAUAAGGUCUCCCCUCAGCCUCCUUUUCCCCAGACUAAACAGCCCCAGUUCCUUCAGUCUCUCCUUGUAGGGCAUAUUCUCCAAGUAUCUACCAUAUGGUUUCAAUUUCAUAAGAUAUAAACUUUUUUGAAACAUAUGGAUUAACAACAAAAGUAUGAAAACUAUAUGAUUAGACUAAAAUUCCUUGUUUACAUUCAUAUAGCAGUCUGUAUGUGAGAAGGAGUUUGUUGACCAAUGCUAAUGUGUUAGGUGAUGCAGUAGGGUGAUGGAAGCAUUUUCUUUAUGUGCUGCCUAAAGAACUUGGUUGUAUUUCCCUUAAUGAAAGUAACUGUGGAAGUUUAACUUCAGAAAGAAUCAAACCCGUUUUGUUUUGACCUGCCUUGUUUACCUUGCAGGAAAGGUAGCGAUACCUGUUUAAAUCAAAGAUGAACACUUUAGGUGAUAGGCACUUAGAAAGAGGCAGUGUUCCCCUGAGCUGGUUAUCAGUAACAGACAUCUCACCUGGUCAGGAUUUAGCAAUCUGCAAAAGCUUGGACACGUCAGGUUUUAGUAACAUGAGGUAUUUAUCCUGGUAGUAGAGCAGCACUCAGAGACACUGUAGUCUGAAUUUGAAAAUAAACUUUGGUUAAUUCUCCACUUGUCCAGGAUGGGGUGUGGAAGCCUAUCAUGAAAUACGGAAAGAGCAGUUCAAGACUGUCAUGAUGAAGAGAGCUGUAUUAAAGAAAUAUUAGAUCAUGAAUUGGGUAGUCUUGCAGCUGCUUUCUUCUGUCAUUCCCUGCCCAGGAAUUUCUUACUAGUUCUUGGAAUCACUGGGGAACUGCGAAUCCUAAACUUAUGUUUAAGAGAGGUGUGCAUAGGUAGAAGGUCAUCCAUCUGAUAGGACUUAAUCUUUGUAGAUCCUUCUUCCCUUCGGGCUCUGAAAUUCAUGUGUGUAAAAUCUGUGAUCCAAAUAUGUUUUUGAAAACUGUUUGCAAUUAGAUGAGUGCUUCGCUGUUACUGAUACCAAAAUGAAUAUUCCACGCCACAUAUUAAAUGGAUAUUACCCUUUAGAUGGGGACACAUUCCUUUCACUUUAUUUACAUUAAUUCUUGUCUUUUUUUUUUCAGAAUUAUUUUACUUGAAAACACAUUCUUUUGAUUAUAAAGCCAUUGGAACUGUCUGCUAGUUAGAAAUGAUACGGAUCUUAUUAAGUGUUUUAAAUGGAGUCUUGGUUAAUUCAAUAGGGUAGAAUCAAAUCUGUGAGGGAAGGGUUUUUUUUACUUCUUCUUCUUUUUUUUUUUUUUUUUAAUCUAUGAGUGAAGCACUGAUAGCAAAAAGGCAGAAGUAUUUUUCAGCAUUGCAAGCCUCAGCCAACCUUCAGCCCAAAAAGCGUGACGUGGAACUGAGCGCCGUGCAGGACUGCAGAGCGCCGUGGAGAGACUCCGAAGAGCAGCAGCUCAAUGUGCAGAACACAGGCGGGAGGAAACAGGAAACCAUUCCCACAGCUGCAGCACUUGCUGUAUUCUGGUGAGGAAAGCAUAAAACUUCACCACUGUUCUUUAGCAGGCCGAGUAAAAUCUUCUUACCUUAGACAACAGACAACAGCUUCUGUGACUGUUCAGGAAACCAGUGAAGCCUCCAUCAGCCAACAGAUAAGUCUAGAAAAGCAACUGGCAGAAUUUAAGAUUCACAAUUAGGGGAAAAAGCAACGCCAAAGCCCAUAGUCUGGAAAUCACCAUUUUCUUCAGAGCAAAUCAUAGUCUCUCUCCUAUUAAGAACCUCUUAACGCAACACUUGUCAAGCUGUAUUGCACCGUGUGUUUCUCUAAUGAACUUUGCUCUGUUCACUUUUUGCACCCUAUUAUCUGGCAGAGUGUUAUACCUCUAGCGCUUCCCCUUCGUACCGCUCAGCUCCCCAGGGAUCACGGUACAACUGUCUAGUGCAAAGUUCAAAGGUCAGCACAGGCAAUCUGGAAAAAGAGCAGUUGAAAACUAACAGCAAUCCGUGGACGUUCUGUUCAUUCUUCUGAAUUGUGUUUUGCCUUACGCACGCUGUAAACAAAUCAGGGCUGUAAAAUAAAAUCAAAGUUCACACGUUUGCAGUUCUUGAUACUGUACUUUGUAAGCCAUCUAAAGCCAAGUUUGUCCAUUUAUUAUCUAAAUCCUUAAUUAUGUUUAUUAUCUAACUUCUUAAUUAUGUUUAAUAUAAUUAGUUGUAUCUUUAAAAAUACUGCAUGCCUGAGGGGUGUGGAUUAGGAAUGCACAAAAUGGCUGUUUUAAUAAGUCACGCUGCUAUACGAAGAUACUCUUUCAUUUGGAAGUACUUUUUUGGCACUAGAGUUCAAUGAGAGCAUUUAAAACACUUUGUAUAUUAAAGUCACUUCUGCUAAGAAACGGAGCAACACCCACCAGAACCCACGCAAUCAAACUUCGUUCACAGAUUCAUCCACGUAACCCAAGACAGAAUUUACCUAUUCCUUGUAAACUUGCUAUAAACAGCAUUUGUUGACACGAUAAGGUCUCUGAGUAUACAAGUCUUGCUAAGUUACAACAUGUACUGUUAGCACACUACAUCUCUUGAGCGUACUAACGUUUAAAACAGCACAAUUCAGUUAAUGAAACAUUCAAGACUGAUACGCAGUGAGGUUGAAACCAAUGCUUUUAAUUUUAUUUUCAGGUUCGAAGUAGAGAAUACAAGCUUGUGUAUGCUGUCAGCUGUUCACAUGCCAUAUUAACAAAUAUGUCUGAAUCGUAAAGCUUUAAAUGUAUUUGUACAUUCGUUUUAUUACUAGACUGUUUUAUCCAUGUUGGCACAGGUAAUCCAUGCAAGGUACAGUUACUCACACCUCAUAAACCAUGCUGCAUUCUGAUCUGAACUAAGAACUUCAGAAAAAUAUGUAUCUAAAAGCAAGGGCACUUGUGGCAUCAAGUCAACAUGUAAAUAUAUUAUAAAACCUAGACUUCUAUGAUCACCGCAGACAAGAAAUCACUCAGUUUCAAAUUCGGAUGUUUGUAAAUGCUAAACAACUUAAUAUCUGCUACCUGGAGACAAGUAUUACAAAUAAACAUCAGCAUACCCAGCAUUAGACACUAAUGAGUGUGUUCAGUGCUGUGGAUGUUCACAUUAUUAAACAUAAAUAUGUCUUUAAGGAAACAUUUCACCCAAAGUACUGACCACUGAAGGACCAAAGUAAAAUACUUUUUCCUCGUUUAAAAUUGCAAUGUGUGAAUGCAGUGCAGUACAAAUUAACUUAGAAAAAAUAAGUCAGGUCGAUGGUUUUCUUUUCAGAUAAUAAAAGCAAAGCCUUCUUUGGUAAUCUUUACUCCCUUAUGCAAAAAGAGCAGAAAAAGAGAAAAAGCAUUAAGGUCAUUUUUGAAGCCUUUGGCUGAAAAGAUGCUGAACACCUUAUUAGAUAAAAUACCGGUAUUCCUAUUUGGUCAUUCAGAGGUACAGGAUCUUUGUUUUAUUACGUAAAGUCCCACGUUAAUUAAUAUAAAUAUUUAGGAACUUAUGACUUAUCCCAGGCAUCUGUUACAAGACAUAAAACAUAAACAAGUGCACAUUAUUCAUCCUGCAAACACUAUUUUUGUAUAGCAUUUAUGUUCAGUGAUAGUUGAAGGGCCCUGUUCUGAAUAACGUAACUAUGCAUCUUUUCCUCCACAUCACAAAGGUGACGUGGCAGAAGAG
ensembl:lncRNA